UGUGAGAAAACAUGGCGGCGUCCGAGGGCAGUUCUGUUUGGGAUACACCGCGAGUUUACAAACAUCAUGAGCAACAGAAAGUUUGUCAUACAAGACCAAAGUACAGAGAGGGAAGAAGAUUAAAAGCCGUAAAGGUGUACACUAUUAACUUGGAGUCUCGGUUUCUUCUGGUGCAAGGAGUACCUGCUAUCGGUGUAAUGACUGAGCUGGUGCAACUUUUUGCACUUUAUGGUGUGAUUGAGGAAUAUAGAGUUCUUGAUGAAUAUCCUGCUGAAGAAUUCACUGAAGUCUAUCUGAUGAAGUUCCAGAAACUUACAAGCGCAAGAGCUGCUAAGCGGAACACUGAUGAAAAAAGCUUUUACGGGGGGAUACUCCAUGUGUGUUAUGCUCCUGAGUACGAGACUGUAGAAGACAUAAGAAAGAAGCUGCAAGACAGGAGGAGAUACAUAAACAGAGCAUGUAUAAAAUCAGUUACAGAAACAGAAUGUGUAAAGGAACCCACAGGAUUGAAAAAACCUGAAGGAUCAUCGGUAACAGAAUCUACUUUAGGGGGAGAUGGAGACGGUGUUCAAACAGAGACUUCAAAUCCCAGCACUCAUUUGGGCUUUCCACUCUUACCCUUACCACCACAGCACUGUUUAUCUUCUAGAGGAUUUCAAUCACACAGGAUACAAACAAGUGAGGAUAAGAUGGGUUCUCUGCACCAGUUCAUUCCAGCCUUCCCAGAACCUUCAAAAAAGAUCUCUGAUUUGCUAAACACAGUUGACAAGGAAGAACCAAACAGCACAAAAAAAUCCAAAGAUCCUCCAUCCACUGCGCCAAGGUUUAUACCAAGGACGGCACGCUUGGAAAACAGAAAGAGGAAAACAGAAGACAGUACAGACUUGUUGGGAAUUUUGGACAAAAAUGCUCCUUUCGUUGGACCUAAACUACCAGAACAACAAAGAAUGGACAUGGAGGACAAUUCAUUAAACAUAACGGCCAACUUAAUCAGGCAAACAAUGACAAAGUUCGAUUCCGGGUACUGCUAUAUCCAUUCCUAGCUGGGAGUCUAGAGAGCAGGUUGGAAGAUCCUAGGUUCAAACCCCACAACCACCAAGUUGCCGCUGUUGGGCCCUUGAGUAAGGCCCUUAACCCUCAACUGCUCAAAUGUGUAAUGAGGUAAAAAUGUCUCAUCAGUUCCCACAGAGACAAAGACCACCAGUAACACCACCACCACCACCAACACCACAAAGCCCCGGAGAAGAAUUUAAAUCACAC